UAGAUGUUAGGAAGAACUUCUUUACUGAGAGGGUUGUUAGGCACUGGAACAGGCUGCCCAGGGAGGUGGUGGAGUCACCAUCCCUGGAAGUCUUUAAAAGACGUUUAGAUGUCGAGCUUAGGGAUAUGGUUUAGUGGGGACUGUUAGUGUUAGGUUAGAGGUUGGACUCGAUGAUCUUGAGGUCUCUUCCAACCUAGAAAUUCUGUGAUUCUGUGAUUCUUCUCAGCUUAAAGAACAAAUGUCAUCCAUUAAUGAAGAAAAAGAGGAGCUAGAACAACUUCUUCAGGACACCAGGGCUGAGCGGGACCAGCUCAAGAUGGAAUUGCAAAAAACCUCUGAGAUGUCUAUUGAAACGAGUGCUAAACUGGAAUGUGCUCUAAGUAAACUGAAGGAGAGAAGCCUGAGUGAUGUGUCUGUUCAAGUGGAUGCACUGGAUAACACAGAACAGAUGGAUGAUGACAGCCUGAAGGCAAAAAUCAUGCGAAUUGAGAUUAAAUUAAACACAAGAUUAUUGGUCAAAAGCACUCAGACAAACAACUACAAGAAAACAACCCUACCUGCAAGAAAACAACAACCCCCUUGUGAUUAGCAGUCACGUAGACCUUGUCUUUGAAGCCAGAUGCUGGUAACAAUAUUUUUCUAAAUUCCUCAAUUGGGCAAUGUGGGAACACUGUCAUGGGAACUUCUCAUAGUUGCCCUAGUAGCUUGGUUUUUCUCUAAAGCAGAGAGAGACCAGUUAGAGGCUAAGAGGCUAACUGUCAGGAGAGCAAGAAGAGAGUAUGUAUUUAAAUCUUUUAAUCUUUGUUUGAAAGACACGUUAUGCUACUAUACUCCUUGAGUCAUGAAGCCUGUUCAGUAUCUCUUCCUUUCUUCGUUUGUCCUCAGAAGCAGUAAACUAAAUGUAGGUUACUCAUCCAAUCUGGAUUUUGGAACUUGUUUCUUAAUUUUGUUUCACCACCCCUUUGGUCACUGUGCCACUCUGGGUUUAGCAACAGUUGUUUGCUGCCUGACGGACAAACGCUGCACAAGUUUCUGUGACAUUUUUCAUCUCCGGUAGCUUUGCAUUUAGCGCUGAGCAGUAAAGGUAAUACGGGUUUACAGAAAUCAAAGGGCUAAAGUCUCCUACCUUUUCAGUCCAGACUAAAUUGACCAAGAGAAAUCUAAACCUGGAAAAGAAAUGAUCGAAUGCAUUUCUCCUGCCUGAUGUCUUGUUCUUGGGGCAGAGUAGCACUUCAAGGUUCCAAGUACUGGCCUGAAAACGUGUUUAUGUUGACACAGUAUUUCAGACAAACUUAACCUGAGGUGCGGCCAACAAAAAUGGAGCUAGUAAGUAGGUAAAAGGAAGUCUGGCAAGUCUUUGCUAAGAGAUUUGCAGAGCCUUUCAUAAGAAUGAAAAGCUCUCGUGAAUUUGAGCAAACUUCAGAUAGUCCAUACAUACUGAAGAGACCGGAGAUCCUAACUGUUCCAAAACCUAAAAUCAGUUAACUCAGGUGAAAUCUUCAGAGUUGUAGAUCUUGCUCCAGCACAACUUGCCAAAACAUUCCCUUAACUGGUGACAGUUGCCCCAAGAAUUGUAAGUAAAAUUUAAGACAGACAUACGGGGUGAUCAGCCAUGUCACGCUUUGUUCUGCAGGUGUCAGAAGUUCUGGCAGAAAUGGAAAGUCUGCAGGAAGAACUAAAGCAUCGUAAAGAGCAAGCUGAUAUUCAGAAGAACUUGAUAGCAGAAGCAGAAGAGAAACAGCAAAAGACUUGUAGCAAGCCAUGGGAUUUUUGCUGUUUCGAAAAAUCCCUCAACAAUUCCCCCCCCUUUUUUUCUUCUCUGAGCAAACCAAGCCUGAUGUAACAGUUUUGCAAGUAACCCUAUAACCACUUUUAUCACAAUACAACAUGCAAUGAUGAUUGACACCACAGCAAACAGAAUCCUUAAUCCCUCUUUGACUAAUCCCAGUAACCAUCUAUGCAUCGUUUCAAACAAAUCAGUGAACCACUGAUUGAAAGGAUUGAUACCAUAUUGAAUCUUUCUCAUGUGCUCUUUCAGGAAAGUAAUGGAUUUGUGAAUUGACUCAUUCUGAUCAAAAAGGUUUAAACAGCACAUUUGCUCAGAGUCCCCACCCCCAUGGCUUUGAGCCAAAAGCAAGAUGUCAAUAGCAGCUUGAUCCUGUAAAAGCACAUGUCGCAGACUAUUUUGAUCUGGUAACAUCUCCUCGAGUAUCUCUGUCGGGGCAUGGGCUUGCUUCUCAGCCCAGCAUACCAAUUUUUCUAAGCUCUUAAUUGCGGCCACAGAUGCCACUUCUGGCACUAAAAUUGCCAAUGCCGCUCUAGCUGCAACACCAAGCAGUUCAACAUUAUCAUUGCAAUCCGGUGCUAGCAAUGCCCGUUUAUGUCUGGUGAUCUCACACAACUGUGACAAGCUAGGAGCAAAUAUGGUGAGUUUAUCUAAGUAACAUGGACAUCUGACAGCAUUUGCAGGGAUACCCUGCCAGGCCCUAUCCCCGCAAAUCAGAAGAACAUCAGGAGGUAAGGCCAAAGCUGUACAAUUGUUCCAAACACUGUAGUUGUUACCCCUUGUCUCCGUGCCAUAAGCCCCUAAACCCUGCCUAGCAGUGUCAUUGUAAUCCCAGGUGUUAUUUGUAUUUCUGUACCUGUAUGGCCCUUUCCAGGUUCCUGUAGCAGGAUCUCGGUAAUUCAUUCUUAUUCGUGGUAACACGUUUGGUGCUACUCUAUUUAUUCUUUGAAAAUGAAUACUUGCAGGAGGGUCUUCUGGUCCCCAGUCAAACAUAAGUGAUUCAAGACACCCAAUGCCUCGGACAAUCGUUCAUCGAUGUUCUUGAUCUCUUUUAAUCUCACUAAUUGUUCCUUUAAAACCUGAUGUGAUUGUUCAACCAUCACUUGGCCUGUGGGAGAAAAUGGAACACUCGUUUUAGGCUGAAUCUGUAGGAAAAUCCAUUCCAGAACUCGAAAAUGCUGCCCUAUCAUUCCACCCUUGCCAUCACCUGUGUCACUUAUACUACUCCUAUUACCCGUGCUGUUAGUGUCAGUGGCAUCCUCCUGGUACCGUUUCUGUCGCCCCUUACUCUCCCCCUUUUCUUUUUGCCACUGACCAUUCACCACAACUGGAUGAGACACAUGAUUGCUAAUUAGGAAAGAGAGCGUAACGUCUGCUAGACGGCUGCAGGCAGUGCCGGCUGCAGCCUUAGAAGCUGUUUGUGACAGAGCCUGCCGGUGGGCAUUUGGCAGUGUGAUCCGUGGCUCUGCACUCCUGCCCCGCAAUAAAGGCAGUAAUAGAGCUAAGUCGUCAUGAGUAAUCCGCACAACAUGGCAACCCCACGGAAUGUAAUCCAGGAACAUAGUUAUACCACCGAUCUGGGGACAAAUAGUCUUUUUUGCAGUGCAAGACACGCCUCUCAUAAACAGAAUGCCAGAGCGAAGCAGCACAGCCAGCCCUGCCUCCACGGUCACGUCAGACAGGCUGCAGGGUCCUGAUCUCUGCCCCUCUGUGUGCCGACUCGCCACACGGUGAGGGUCGGCUGCCGGUGUCCACUGACGCCUCUGGUCUCCCGUAGCAACUCGAUCCCGGCUGUCCCGCAUCCCCCCACGAUUGCUUUGUUUCCCUGCAUUUUUAUUUUUAGUUUUCCCCCACGUCUCACCGCGUGUCCUGUGUCCGGGUUGGUGCUUGGAGUUUCUCAGUGUCUCUCGGGUGUUGCGGCUUCUGUCGGCUCUCCGUGUCUCUCAGAGCCGUCCAUGUCUCUGAAGCAUCUCUCAGGGCUCUCUGUGCCUCUGAAGUCUCUCCGUGUGUCUCAGGUCUCUCAGCUUCUCUCAGGGCUCUCCGUGUCUCUGAAGCCUCUCUGUUUCUGUCAGCAUCUGUCAGAUCUCUGCGUGUCAGUCUCAGCCUGUUCGGGCCCCAUACGUUGCAGGAAGCACGGCCGAAAGCAUGACAGACACCAGAAUGGUCAGAUCAUGCUCCAUUUUAGUGCCCGAAUAGCCUGACUUUUCUAGUGAACUUAAACGGGAGGAUAGUGUCUCACACAAGAUUAUUGGUCAAACGCACUCAGACAGACAACUACAAGAAAACAACCCCACCUGCAAGAAAACAACCCCCUUGUGAUUAGCAGUCACGUAGACCUUGUCCUUGAAGCCAGCUGCUGGCAACAAUAUUUCUCUAAAUUCCUCACUUGGGCGAUGUGGGAACACUGUCAUGGGAACUUGGUUUGCUCAGCUGCAGCAAGCCCUGGGAUCUUUGCUGUUUCAGAAAUCCCUCAACACUUCCUUGAAUCACCACAUAAUUUUGGAAGCUUUUUUUUAACCUAACAAUCAUUUUUAAUGAAUAUUUGACACACUAAUUCUUUGAAGCUUUUAAAAAUAAAGGUUAGUAUAGUCACUCACCAAAAGAUCUCAACCAGCUUGUUGGGUUUACUGACCUUUGGAAAAAGGAAGUUUUACGCUCAUUUGUUUUGCUAUGCUUGUUGGGAGUUGUAGUCUAACUGAGAAGUUUCUCUACACCAACGCAGCUUCGUGUUGAAACACCAAGAUGCUGCCAUCUAGUGAAACUCAAGAUUUCCAGUGGGAUUUUCUCCUGCACAGGUUAGGAAUAAAAGAGGGUCAUGAACAUUAGCUAUCCAUUCCCCCAUAAAGAAUGCAAGAGAUUAACAGGAUUCUCACCAAAAAAGGCCACGACAAUGUUCUUCCCCAAGCAAUUGCUCUUUAU
rnacentral:lncRNA from 1 species